rnacentral:rRNA from 1 species
CCUACGGGUGGCAGCAGUGAGGAAUAUUGGUCAAUGGUCGGGAGCCUGAACCAGCCAAGUCGCGUGAGGGAUGAAGGUACAGCGUAUCGUAAACCUCUUUUGCAAGGGAAUAAAGACUGGGACGCGUCCACGUAUGCGUGUACCUGAAGAAAAAGCACCGGCUAACUCCGUGCCAGCAGCCGCGGUAAUACGGAGGGGGCAAGCGUUAUCCGGAUUUAUUGGGUUUAAAGGGAGCGUAGACGGUGAUGCAAGUCAGAAGUAAAAGCCCGGGGCUCAACUCCGGGACUGCUUUUGAAACUGGGUGACUGGAGUGCAGGAGAGGUAAGCGGAAUUCCUGGUGUAGCGGUGAAAUGCGUAGAUAUCAGGAGGAACACCGGUGGCGAAGGCAGCUUACUGGACUGUAACUGACGUUGAGGCUCGAAGGCGUGGGGAGCAAACAGGAUUAGAUACCCGAGUAGUC